GACGAACGCUGGCGGCGUGCUUAACACAUGCAAGUCGAACGGCGACACUCUUCGGAGGGGCUCAGUGGCGAACGGGUGAGUAAAACGUGGGCAAACUGCCCCCGGCUCUGGGAUAACUCCAAGAAAACGGGGGUAAACUCGGAUGUUUACCGCAUCCCGCAUGGGUGGUGGUGAAAAGGGUUUGCGGAUGGGGAUGGGUCCGCGGCCCAGCUGCCUGUUGGGGGGGUAGUGGGCUACCAAGGCGACGACGGGUAGCCGACCUUGGAGGGUGACCGGCCACACUGGUACUAAGGCACGGCCCAGACUCCAACGGGGGGCAGCGGUGGGGAAUAUUGUGCAAUGGUCGGAAGCCUGACGCGGCGGCGCCGCGUUGGUAAUGACGGCUUUCGGGUUGUAAACCUCUUUCGGCAGGGACGAAGCUCAAGUGACGGUACCUGCAGAAGAAGCACCGGCUAACUACGUG
rnacentral:rRNA from 1 species